UGUUCUGUUCUGCUCCUCCUUGUUGCACCCAGGUUUGCUCCUGAGCACACGGAAGCUGUGACUCUGGUCCCUUGUGUGCAGGACUCCUACAGCAGUGACAGACCCUCCAGUGAUGCAGGCCGGGGUGCAGCAUCCCUCCGGCACCGGCUGAUCCCAAUCCCAUUGACCCAGGGCUGGGAUUCAUCUUCUUUAACUUUGACUUCAAGAUCCCAUGGAGCAACGAGGCUGUUGCCCAAGUAAGAUGCUGCAUUUGUCAUGGUCCAUCCACAGUGUUGCAGCUCGGGGGUAGCACUGCAGUGGAUGUGGACGUGCCUGUGGGUACCACAAGGUGACAAGCAGCAUGAAAAGGUGCCACCACUGCAGGUCCCCAUCCCAGGGCUGCUCAGCCACACAAGUUAGAGGUCAGAACACAGUGGUGAUGUGCUAUAGGAAGAAAACACUUUAUUUGUUUAAAAUAUAAAAAAA